AGCCCAUGGUGAGGGCACAUUCUCAAUAGAUCCUUGUAUCUCUUCCAUGCAUGACAGAGUGUUUCUAAGUCCAUUUGCACAAAAGAAGAAAUAUCACUCCUUAGUUU
rfam:Gossypium arboreum cultivar AKA8401 contig_46504_1, whole genome shotgun sequence.